CUGUAAAACAUUCAGGAUUUUACGUUACUGAUAAACUACAUUACCCAGAAGGACACAGCUAUCAUUACUGCGCAUGUGCGAACGGCACAUGGUUUUAAAAGAGCUCGGCGGACACGUGGCUGUUCUUCUCUGCAGCAGUUCGGCAACACGUGGUCUGCUCUAUAACAUAAAAUGGCCGUCCACCAUUGUGUAGAAGCAACCUUAAGCUCAGUCAAACUGAUGCUGAUGCCUCAUGGAUGAAGAGGCUCUGAAGACCAGACUUCUGGUCCCUCAUUCUCAUUCUUUAGAUAAGGAUGUCCCACUAACAUGACUGUCAAGCCAGAUUCAGAUGCUUCCUUCUAACAUGGUUUAGAUAAGGAUGCCCCACUGACAUGACUGAAGUCAAUCCAGAUCCAGCUGCUGCCUUCUAACUUGGUUUAGAUAAAGAUGCGUCACUGGCUUGACGGAUGACUUCAAGCCAGAUCCAAGUGCUUCCUUCUAACAUGGUUUAGAAGCUGAUGCCUCAUGGUUGAAGAUGGGACUCCAGACCUCAGGCUUUGGCCUAACAUGGUUUUUCUCUAGGCCGUAUCCUGUGGAUCUUUCCAUGGCAAACAGUUCAGUUUACUUCACUCAAUAUAACCCUUCUGAUUCCAUAAUGUAAUUGACGAGUCAUGUUACUCUUUGAUUUUAUAUGGGUUUUUUUUUUUUAGUAAAUCAAUUUGACAGCUCUAGUCCUGUUACACGUUUGACAUUUACACAGUAGUUUUGAUAAAAUUGAUCCCCCCCCCCAAAUCUGGUAUGUUUCUACUAAAAGUAAACUGGAGAAGUAAAAUCCCAUGUAUAUUAAUAGUAACUGGUCUGUUUAGUUUUUAUCCUGGAAAUAUGACCAGUCAGAACUUUAAGAGCUAUAGAUCUGAUAUUACUGGUGUUGCCUAAAUAUCUGAAACAGCUGAAAUGUGUAUCUACUAGUAAAAUUAACCCAGACCAUUUAAUUUAAGUUCUGGGUUACCAAAUAUUCAGGCAAAAUUUACUAUUUUUAAAGUUAGAUAUUUAUUGGUUUAAGGAAAUGUUCAAUGUUCUUGUUUGUAGGACCACUGUGGCCUUGUGCUCCUCUGAAUCUGGACAGAGGGUUUGGAUAUGUAGUUCACCCUGUUGCCUGGAUAAUAUUGUGUAUAUGGUGUGAUUUUCCAUCGUCACAUGUGUUGCCUUAAGUGAUAAUAAAAUAAAAUUUGCAAUGAAUGAAUACAA